GACGAACGCUGGCGGCGUGCCUAAUACAUGCAAGUAGAACGCAGUUGCGAACGGGUGAGUAACGCGUAGGUAACUGCCUGGUAGCGGGGGAUAACUAUUGGAAACGAUAGCUAAUACCGCAUACUACCAGAUGGACCUGCGUUGUAUUAGCUAGUUGGUGAGGUAACGGCCCACCAAGGCAACGAUACAUAGCCGACCGUGGAAGGUGAUCGGCCACACUGGGACUGGGGCACGGGCCAGACUCCGUCGGGGGGCAGCCGUAGGGAAUCUUCGGCAAUGGGGGGAACCCUGGCCGGGCAACGCCGGGUGAGUGGAGAAGGUUUUCGGGUCGGAAAGCUCUGUUGUUAAGGAAGCGGUACUUAACCAGAAAGGGACGGCUAACUACGUGCCAGCAGCCGCGGUAAUAC
rnacentral:rRNA from 1 species